rnacentral:rRNA from 1 species
GACGAACGCUGGCGGCGUGCUUAACACAUGCAAGUCGAACGGAAAGGCCCUGCUUUUGUGGGGUGCUCGAGUGGCGAACGGGUGAGUAACACGUGAGUAACCUGCCCUUGACUUUGGGAUAACUUCAGGAAACUGGGGCUAAUACCGGAUAGGAGCUCCUGCUGCAUGGUGGGGGUUGGAAAGUUUCGGCGGUUGGGGAUGGACUCGCGGCUUAUCAGCUUGUUGGUGGGGUAGUGGCUUACCAAGGCUUUGACGGGUAGCCGGCCUGAGAGGGUGACCGGCCACAUUGGGACUGGGUUACGGCCCGGACUCCUACGGGAGGCAGCAGUGGGGAAUAUUGCACAAUGGGCGGAAGCCUGAUGCAGCAACGCCGCGUGCGGGAUGACGGCCUUCGGGUUGUAAACCGCUUUCGCCUGUGACGAAGCGUGAGUGACGGUAAUGGGUAAAGAAGCACCGGCUAACUACGUG